ACCUGGCUGGCUCAGUCAGUAGAGCAUGAGACUCCUGAUCUUAGGGCUGUGAGUUCAAGCCCCACACCGGGUA
rnacentral:tRNA from 1 species